GAUGAACGCUGACAGAAUGCUUAACACAUGCAAGUCGAUGGGGAAGUGGUGCUUGCACCCUGGCAACCAUGGCGGACGGGUGAGUAACGCGUAAGGGACUUACCUGCAGGACUGGGAUAACAGGGGGAAACUCCUGACAAGACCGGAUAAUGUCAUGGAGCUGCAUGGCUUUAUGAUGAAAGGAGACGCCUGCGGAGAGCCUUGCGUCCUAUUAGCUAGUUGGUGAGGUAAUGGCUCACCAAGGCGAAGAUAGGUAGCCGGCCUGAGAGGGUGGACGGCCACAAGGGGACUGAGAUACAGCCCUGACUCCUACGGGAGGCAGCAGUGGGGAAUAUUGGACCAUGGGGGCAACCCUGAUCCAGCAAUUCUGUGUGCACGAAGAAGGUUUUCGGAGUGUAAAGUGCUUUCAGCAGGGAAGAAGUAAGUGACGGUACCUGCAGAAGAAGCGACGGCUAAAUACGUG
rnacentral:rRNA from 1 species